rnacentral:rRNA from 1 species
UACAGAGGGGGCAAGCGUUGUUCGGAAUUACUGGGCGUAAAGGGCCAGUAGGCGGCCAACUAAGUCCGACGUGAAAUCCCCAGGCUUAACCUGGGAACUGCGUCGGAUACUGGAUGGCUUGAAUUCGGGAGAGGGAUGCGGAAUUCCAGGUGUAGCGGUGAAAUGCGCAGAUAUCAGGAGGAACACCGGUGGCGAAGGCGGUCUGCGUGGGGUAAUGCUGACACUGGAUGCGCGACAGCGUGGG